rnacentral:snoRNA from 1 species
CCUACCUCUAGAAGCUUUGCCGAUGUGGCUGCUGUGCCACACAUAUGUGUCAGUAGGUGGCAGAGAGGAGAGAGGCGAUGUCUAUGCUCAGUGUUCCAACCAAUGAACAUCUGAAUGAUUAGUAGCCUAAUAUU